UUCAAUGAUCUGCACCUGCUCCUGAUGUGUCUCACCUGGGUUCAAUGAUCCUGCUUCUUCGUUCAGUCCCAGUGCUCCUCACCCCUCCGUCACUUUGUCUGGGUUAUGUUUCACAGCGACAGAUUCACGUUCCUUCACUCCAACAACACACAGAGCUUGAAUUUAUCACACAUUUUUAACCAUCACAGUAUAAAUUGGUGAUGUAUGACGAUACGAGGUGAAUUUUCAUUGGACGACACGAAGCUGCUGAGGGCACAUUUCUGCAGAAAGUCACGUUCGCACCAGGUGGUUAGAGAGAGAGAGAGCUGUCAUAUAAGAAAUAAGAGGACGUGAGGAACCACAUCACUGAGUCCUGCGGUCGCACUGGUCUGGAGGAAAUGGAUGUUAACGUCUGGAUGAGGACGGGAGUAAAAUAAAAAUCUCUCCCUUUCAAAGCAUCACUUUCUCAAUCAUCCACCAGAGCGUAGUUCAACGUGGUCCGAGAGCAUCUGUUGGGUCGAGGGUUGAAAGACGAUGACCUCUGACCUGUGGACUGAAACAGGAAAUGGAGUUCCUCUGGCGAUCAGGCUCCAUUAGAAGUGACCUGUUGUACUGAACUGUAUCGUGACAGAAUGUUUAGACUUCUCACGAAGUUUCCAUUUCAUAAAUCUGCCGACCUGAUCAUGUUUUGUCUCGUGAAGCCUUCAGGCCGUUAUCAUGAACCUCAGAGGAGAACC